GUCCCUGUAGCGCAAUGGAUAGCACGUUGGAUUUCUAAUCCAAAGGUCGUGGGUUCAAAUCUCACCUGUGAUG